AGUGACAUUUAUGUGGAUUGCCAAUGUGAAUUUGAAAGAGAUCGAAUUGUAUUACACAAAAUCAAAUACUCUAUAUAUGUGAUUUAGCUUGUUUUUACAACCCCAUAUAUAUAUAUAUAUAUAAGAGAAAGCGUAUCUGAUCCCAAUUGUAGAAUCAAGAGUAGCUAGAACAAGCCCUAUCGGGACCCUGGUAUAUUAUAUUAUGUGGAAUCAGAAUUCCCUUUUCUGGAAAAGAAGGAAAAAGGGAAGAAAAAAAGGAUAUAAGAAUCCAGAUUUUUUUUUACCUUUUUAUUUUUUGCAUUUUCUUUUCUCCCCCUUUUUCUCCUUUCUAGUUAGUUUAUUAAAAUGUUGUUACCUGAUUAAUUUUUUAUAAUUGAAGGAGAUAAAGGGUUAUAAGUGAGAGUUUUUGCUGAAUAGAAAGUAGAAUAAGAAAUUUAUUGAAAAUGCAUUAAAAAAUAAGAUGAAAAACGACAAACUUAGCUAAAGAAUGUACACGCAAAUUGACACAUUUAAAUAUUUUUAAAGUAUUCUAACUUUCUUUUUUUUUUAAAAAAAAAAAGAAUAAGAAAAACAAUAUCAGAGAGGAUACUACCAAAGUUCCCGAGUGACAACAAGUAGUUGUGGGUGAUAUUCUAACUCCAUUCAAUUGACGCGGGACCAAAAAAUAAAUAAUUUGAUCUUUUAGUUUUUUUUUUAGGUUUAUUUGUAUUUAAAUUUUAAGAGUUAAGUGUUAUUUUGUAUUUCAAUAAUAGGUUAUACUCCAAUGGAAACUGAGUUGAUGAAUAAUUAAAUAUAUUUUGUUUUCCCCUCUCUUCUUUUAGGCUUUUUUUUUUUUUUAUGUGGUGUGACUACCAACUUCUCAUUCUCUUUGGAUUGUGUGAUUAGAUUAUGGCCUUUCUUUUUCCCCUUUUCUCUAUUUUUCUUUUUCAAAAUUCCUUUUGGCAUGCAUCAUCAAUAUAUAAUUGUUAAAUUACAGAAAAUAUUUAAUUUAAUUAUUUAAUUAAUAUUUUAACACUUAAUAUCCAUCAUAAAUUUAAUAAUUUAAUUAAUAUUAUAUCAAAAAUGCAAGAUAAUGAUGAUCAUGUAGAGAGUAAAUGUGAUAUUGGCACGGCUCAAUCAGAUCAAAGGACCCAACCAUUGAGAGCUUUGAUUUGAUUGAGCCAUGCCAACAUCAUAAACUCCACCAAUAUUAAUCUAUUGCCAAGAAACUUUUACAUCAAUGAAGAAGGAAAGUAAGUAAAAUCCAUAAACGUCUAGCUAGCCUCCUUCAAUGUUGGAAGAAAUAGACGAUGCCCCAUGCUGCAGCCAUGCACUGGCCCGGAAAUGGCGACGACCGAUCGAAGACGAGAAAACAGCACAAGAAUAUAUGAAAUUAAUUCCCAGAAACAAGAAAGUGAUUUUAUUUACA
rnacentral:precursor_RNA from 1 species